UGACAAGAUGACUUCAAAGUACACAGAUGU
rnacentral:piRNA from 1 species